CAGCCGCCGCGGUAAUACGAAGGGGGCUAGCGUUGUUCGGAAUUACUGGGCGUAAAGCGCACGUAGGCGGAUAUUUAAGUCAGGGGUGAAAUCCCAGAGCUCAACUCUGGAACUGCCUUUGAUACUGGGUAUCUUGAGUAUGGAAGAGGUGAGUGGAAUUCCGAGUGUAGAGGUGAAACUCGUAGAUAUUCGGAGGAACACCAGUGGCGAAGGCGGCUCACUGGUCCAUUACUGACGCUGAGGUGCGAAAGCGUGGGGAGCAAACAGGAUUAGAUACCCCAGUAGUCCCUGUCUCUUAUAC
rnacentral:rRNA from 1 species